CCCUUAGAUGUUCUGGGCAGCACGCGCGCUACAAUGGUCUUCGCAAACGGAUGCAUUCUCGAAGGAGAAUGCCAAUCUUGGAAUCUAUGCCUUGGUCGGGACAGUUGCUUGCAAUUUUUCGACUCGAACCAGGAAUUCCUUGUAAUCGUGAUUCAUCACAUCACGAUGAAUACGUCCCUGCCCUUUGUACACACCGCCCGUCGCUCCUACCGAUUGAAUGCUCAGGUGAGCCAUUCGGACUUUCAUCAUGCUGGUUCCAGUUUUGAUGAAGGAAAGUCUUGCGAACCUUAUCAUUUAGAGGAAGGAGAAGUCGUAACA
rnacentral:rRNA from 1 species